UACUGAAAUAGUCUAGUGAGAAGAUAGGUUGAAAGGACAGUGCCACAAUGAUGACAUCAUAUUUGCUACUCUUGACAGCUGGGGUGACGAUAGCUUUAAACCACCAUAAUUAAAACUGAGGCACACAGAAUAAUGAUUCGGGGCUAACUAUAGAGUAAGCAGUAUUUACAUAGACUUUUUUCCCCCAGGACUCAUGAGGAAGCUGGAUUACUGGACGAGAGCAAUGUAAGCAAUUUUUUUGUAUGCAUGUGGUCCCACUACAAGAGGCCCCUCAACCCACACAUCAAUGUAGAGUUCCAUGAAAGCAAUUGUAGAGAAGAGUGGGUGGGAGAUCUGAAGCCAGACAGGGCAUUGUGUGUCUAGGUAUCUGAAGAGGCUGGUUCUUGAUAACUCUGGGAGCUAGUGUGAUUGAACACAGGAUUUAUAAUUGUGCUAUUUAGACCAGAUUUGGUGGGCACUUUCCCUAUCUUAAGUGCUGAGUCAGGUCUAACAGGGCAGUUUUAACUAUUUGUUUGAUCUUGUAGGUUCUAGAAGGGAAGACCAGAAAAUGAGAUGGUGGAGUUUAAUAAGGCUGGACAGACAGUUUUGAAAGUAAGUAUUGAAAAAUGCUUGAAUCUAGGCCAAUAA
ensembl:processed_transcript